UGUAAUUAGUAAAGAAAAAUAAGAUAAUCGAAAAAAAAUGAAAAAAGAAAAGCAAAGUGGGGAGAUGUGAUAGGCGAAUGCAGAAGAAUGAUAAGCUCGCUUGCAACCCAAGCGCCACUUCCUCUCGCUUAUUAUAGGAACUCUCCUUCCAUUUACAAAACCAAACCCUCCACCUAUUUUCCCCGCUUCUUCUCGGUCAAAACUUUGUCAUUCCCUCUCUUUUUGAAUCCUUCUACGAACACUUCAACAAGUAAAGCUAAGAUUGUUUUUAAUUUACAGGGUUUUUUGGGUCCAAUUUCGAGCCCUGCAAUCCGACCUCUUUGUUCGAAAUCCGGUGAAGUGGGAGGAAUGGCGUCGUCGCUGCAAAAUCAGGAUUCUAUUUCGUACCUGACACAGCGAGAAGCUGCUGAAAUUGAUGAGACUCUCAUGGGUCCUCUCGGCUUUAGUGUUGAUCAGCUAAUGGAAUUGGCUGGUUUAAGCGUAGCCACAUCUAUUGCUGAGGUUUAUAAACCAAGUGAGUAUAAUCGUAUUCUUGCUAUUUGUGGUCCGGGAAACAAUGGAGGUGAUGGGCUGGUUGCUGCUCGUCAUUUGUAUCACUUUGGGUAUAAGCUGUUUGUGUGUUAUCCUAAGCGAACUGCUAAACCCCUUUAUUCUGGUCUUGUUACUCAGCUGGAAUCUCUGUUAAUCCCUUUCCUGUCAGUGGAUGAGCUGCCUGUGGACUUGUCAAAGGACUUUGACAUUCUAGUGGAUGCUAUGUUUGGCUUUUCGUUUCACGGUUCACCAAGGCCACCUUUUGAUAAUCUGAUCCAGAAGCUGGUCCACUUACAUAGUUGUGGACAAAUGCAACAUAAGUCCCCUGUUAUUGUAUCUGUAGAUAUUCCAUCUGGAUGGCAUGUUGAAGAGGGUGAUGUUGGUGGUCAAGGCAUCAAACCUCACAUGUUGGUUUCUUUGACUGCUCCCAAACUGUGUGCCAAGAAAUUUUCUGGACCUCACCACUUUCUUGGUGGUAGAUUUGUCCCACCAACUAUUGCAGAAAAAUAUAAGCUUCAACUUCCCCAAUAUCCAGGCACAUCUAUGUGUGUCCGAAUUGGAAAGCCUCCACAAAUUGACAUAUCAGCUCUCAGAGAGAAUUAUAUAUCUCCAGAGUUCCUUGAGGAGCAGGCGGAGGCUGAUCCUAUGGAUCAGUUUUAUAAGUGGUUUGAGGAUGCGGUGGUUGCUGGCUUAAAGGAACCAAAUGCUAUGGCUUUGUCAACCACUGGAAAAGAUAGAAAACCGGAUGGAUCCACUAUGGGGCCCUUGGAGGCACCUGCUCCGAGUGGGAUCCUUGAGAAAAUUUGGGAACUAUUUAAAAAGUGCCUAAACUUUUUGAAGAAUUUUGCAUUUCCUUCUACUAAAUAUGAGAUUCGUGCUUUUAAUUUGAGCUCAUCGAGAAUGGUAUUGCUAAAAGGGGUCAACAAGGAUGGUUUUGUUUGGUAUACCAAUUAUGAAAGUCGAAAGGCACGUGAGUUAUCAGAAAAUCCGCAUGCAGCACUUCUUUUCUACUGGGAUGGGCUUAAUCGGCAGGUAAGAGUAGAAGGAUCUGUGCAGAAAGUUUCUGAUGAGGAAUCAGAGCAAUACUUUCACAGUCGCCCUCGGGGUAGUCAAAUUGCAGCAAUAGUUAGCAAGCAGAGUACUUUAGUUCCAGGACGGGAUGUACUACACCAGCAAUACAAAGAACUAGAAGAAAAAUACUCUGAUGGGAGUUUAAUUCCAAAGCCUAAACACUGGGGAGGAUACAGACUUCAACCAGAGCGUUUUGAGUUUUGGCAAGGGCAGCAGUCCCGUUUGCAUGACAGGUUGGAAUAUUCCCCUCAAGAGAUCAAUGGAAAACGAGUGUGGAGAAUUGUUCGUUUGGCCCCCUGAGUAGUAUAUUCAGUUUCUUCACUAUGAAGUUCGCCACUGUGGGAGGUUGAAGCCUAGGAGAGAGAGGAAAGGAAAUUAUUGCGAGUGCUGGGGAUGGAACCUCAACCUUGCACGAAUCCACCUCUUAAAUGAAGUGUGUGAACAAUUUGGGCUAAGCCCUAGGCUCCUCCAAUCUUCCUCUUUGAUAUUGCGUUCUUCACAAGUAGAACAUCAUUAUUAGUCUAUGAACAUAUCAUUUGACAGUUUAUCCUAUCUAACGUCUUAGGAAAUAAAGUCAUGUUGGUGAUCACUUUAUCAUCUUUUCCUUUAUCCCCUUAAGCUUGCGUAGGAUAACAGAUUUUCUAAAUUUUCAUGAGCCUGAGAUCAUAGAAUUUCUAGAUACCUGUUGGUUGUAUACAUUUGACUAGGAAUCGUACUCGUUGGCUAUCCUUUCAACACAACCACUCUUUUUGCUGGCUUUGAAGAUGUUGCGUGCAAAGGACAAGGACCUGAAUGGCUCAAUGGUCUAAACACCACAAUAAGUUUUUGUGACAGUUAUGAUGAAUUGGAGCGUCUGAGUUUGCAAUUUGUUAGUUGUCAUUGGAAAGGUCUGCAUCUGAUAAUUUUUGCUUUUCAUUUUGGUAUCUUUAGUAGGUAGGAAAAGAAUGUGAAAGAAAGAGUUAGGCAACCUUUAUAGGACGAAGCCUAUCUGCUUUAUUUCGUUUCAAAUUGGUUUGAUUAGUAAGCUUGUCCUAAAGCUUGGAAAUUUCUUUUAUGGAUGCUUCACGAUAUUAAAAUUUUGGUUUGAUUGAUUCUGACCAAAUUGGGCUCCACCAUGAAAAACAAACACCUGGGGCUCCUUUUCAUGGUUCUUUUGACCAGCUUAAGCUGAAAUCUGACACAAUAUCUUUUAUAUGAAAGGCCAAUUUGAUGCUAGGUGAC